AAGGUUUCCUGCAACAAUAUUGUGGUUUAUCCCAAUUCCUAAUCUUAUUUCGUAUAUUCCAAUAUUCUUUCCGAAGCAAUAUGGAAAAGUAAUAGCAUAUCAUAAAGAGAAGAACAAAUACUAUUCUCCAGAUGAUUAUCUCCCUUGCACACUGAUAAAAAUUGAUUGUUGCUAACACUUGUGGAAAGAUACAAUAAGUUGAGGUGAGUAUAUGCAUACCACAUAAUUCUAUUUGAGUUCAUGCAGUGCAUCAGUCUAUUCUACAGAGUGAGAGUUCACUUUCUUCAAUAUUCAUUUUAUAUUGUUGACUAAUCAUUCAAUUAAUGACAUCAUCUACUAGCUAUGAUAAAUCACUCAGACAGAAUAUUAUUUUUCUUCCCACAGAAAACUAGCUAUUUUCCAUUAAACAUUAUAGCUGAUGAAUCUAUCCAACAGUUGUGCUGUCUCGACUGCACACUCUGUGUGCUUCUCCUGACAUUGAGUUGAUGAUUAACCAGCAGAACAAGAUGAAUCCUACCUCACUGAGUUCGUUUGAUGGAAAUGGACCCAUGUAGCAGAGCACUCGAGAAUUUGAGCAUUUUCUCACCUCUCAACUCGGGGUUUCCUCGGUGUCAUAACCAGUUGAGCUCUCGUGAGGGAAACAUACCUGCAUCGAGAAAAGCAAACCCGAGAAGAUAG